GUCGAGGGGAGCAUUUCAGUUUGCUUGCAACUGGAGAUGGCGACCGGCGCACGGGUGAGUAACACGUAUCCAACCUGCCGAUAACUCGGGGAUAGCCUUUCGAAAGAAAGAUUAAUACCCGAUGGUAUAAUUAGACCGCAUGGUCUUGUUAUUAAAGAAUUUCGGUUAUCGAUGGGGAUGCGUUCCAUUAGGCAGUUGGUGAGGUAACGGCUCACCAAACCUUCGAUGGAUAGGGGUUCUGAGAGGAAGGUCCCCCACAUUGGAACUGAGACACGGUCCAAACUCCUACGGGAGGCAGCAGUGAGGAAUAUUGGUCAAUGGGCGCAGGCCUGAACCAGCCAAGUAGCGUGAAGGAUGACUGCCCUAUGGGUUGUAAACUUCUUUUAUAUGGGAAUAAAGUUUUCCACGUGUGGAAUUUUGUAUGUACCAUAUGAAUAAGGAUCGGCUAACUCCGUGCCAGCAGCCGCGGUAAUACGGAGGAUCCGAGCGUUAUCCGGAUUUAUUGGGUUUAAAGGGAGCGUAGGUGGACAGUUAAGUCAGUUGUGAAAGUUUGCGGCUCACCC
rnacentral:rRNA from 1 species